GAUGAACGCUGGCGGCGUGCCUAAUACAUGCAAGUCGAGCGAACGGACGAGAAGCUUGCUUCUCUGAUGUUAGCGGCGGACGGGUGAGUAACACGUGGAUAACCUACCUAUAAGACUGGGAUAACUUCGGGAAACCGGAGCUAAUACCGGAUAAUAUUUUGAACCGCAUGGUUCAAAAGUGAAAGACGGUCUUGCUGUCACUUAUAGAUGGAUCCGCGCUGCAUUAGCUAGUUGGUAAGGUAACGGCUUACCAAGGCAACGAUGCAUAGCCGACCUGAGAGGGUUACCGGCCACGCUGGAAAAUGCAACGGCGCCAAGCAUCAAAGGGGGGCAGAGAUAGGGGACUUGCGGAACAGGGCGAAAACCGAAGGGAGCAACGCCCGCGGGGGGAGGAAGGUCUCGGGAUCGUAAAACCUUGUUAUUCGGAAAAAAAACGUGUGUAAGAAAGCGUCGACGUCUAGGCGAGACCUAAUCAGAAAGCCACGGUUAAUUACGC
rnacentral:rRNA from 1 species